rnacentral:lncRNA from 1 species
UGUAAUAUAAAAGAAAAUUGAAAACAACACUGCAGCUCUAGUCUAGACUAAAAAUCCUCCUAAAUUUUGUAGUGAUCUUGUAUUCUGAACCUAUAACACAUCAAGCUUGUGAUGUUUAAUGUUUUACAAUUAAUAACAGGACUAAAACAAUCAUGUCAAAUAAGUUUCAUCCCAAUCAUGGUUAUGGAAUGUGCAAAUUGUAAGUCUAGGUUAGUCUUUUCAUGCAUGGCUUUCCUUGAAAUUAUGCUGAAUUAAAUAUAAUUUUUUUCUUUUGGUCUUUAGUAAAAUCUAUCUAAAUAUUUCCAAUGAACACAAUGACAACACAUGGUUUCUUUGCAAUGCACAACUACAAAUAUUCAUAAACAGAAGUCAGUAUUCUUAUAAAACGUAUAACAUAUUAAAUAAUAUUAAUGAUUAAUUCAUAACAUGUUCUUAGCAAAUAAAAUUCUUAUCUAGUAGUUGACAUCUUCAAAAAAAGAAAUCAGUUGUGUCUGAUAUGGUCAUUGCACCAAAAAACUAUGACAAUACACAAUUAUUUGUUAAUAAUCUAGCUGAUAGAUGCUAAAAAUCAACUAACAAAAAAAUCAAAGAUAAUAGUUUUUGUGUUGUUUUUUUUAAUUUCCAAGUAAAAACUGGAAGAUUGAUUAUAAUAUAUAUAUAUACAUGAAUAUAGAUGGCACAUUUUCUUAAGGCAUUACCACAAUUUUUCAAUUCAGGACAUUGUACUGAACAUGCAUAAAAUACUUGCCAUUGGAUAUCAGAAAAACAUAAUCAAUCUAUGAAUUAUGUAUUGACAAAAUAUAUCAAUUUCCUU